GUUUGUGCUCACUUCGGCAGCCAUCCACUAACAUCGGACGAUACAGAGAUUAGCCUGAUCCCUGGGCAAGGAUGACACGCAAAUUCAUGAAUGACGUUCCAUGUUUUA
ensembl:snRNA U6 U6 spliceosomal RNA